rnacentral:rRNA from 1 species
GACGAACGCUGGCGGCGUGCCUAAUACAUGCAAGUAGAACGCUGAAGGAGGAGCUUGCUCUUCUGGAUGAGUUGCGAACGGGUGAGUAACGCGUAGGUAACCUGCCUGGUAGCGGGGGAUAACUAUUGGAAACGAUAGCUAAUACCGCAUAACAGUAGAUGUUGCAUGACAUUUACUUAAAAGGUGCAAUUGCAUCACUACCAGAUGGACCUGCGUUGUAUUAGCUAGUUGGUGGGGUAACGGCUCACCAAGGCGACGAUACAUAGCCGACCUGAGAGGGGGGGCGGCCACACUGGGACUGAGACACGGCCCAGACUCCUACGGGAGGCAGCAGUAGGGAAUCUUCGGCAAUGGACGGAAGUCUGACCGAGCAACGCCGCGUGAGUGAAGAAGGGUUUCGGAUCGUAAAGCUCGGUUGUAAGAGAAGAACGAGUGUGAGAGUGGAAAGUUCACACUGUGACGGUAUCUUACCAGAAAGGGACGGCUAACUACGUG